GACCAGAUAGCUCAGUUGGUAGAGCACCUGACUAAAGGUUCAGGUGGCCAGGGUUCGAGUCUUGGUCUGGUCC